AGUGGGAUAGCUGGGUCAAAUGGUGAUUUCAUUCCAAGUUUUCUAAGGAAUCUCCAUAUUGCUUUCCAGAUUGGUUGCACCAAUUUGCAGUCCCACCAGCAAU
rnacentral:pre_miRNA from 1 species